GGAUGGGAAAGGGCCCUGGUUGGCCGUCUGAACACCAGGGCUAACUUGGCUGAUCACACUGGCUAGGCAAAAUCCUCUUCCCUCAUUCCUCCAUGUGUUCCUCCUGAAGGUGCAUGCUUUGUUGAAGAGGGUGAUCUUCCCUAAAGGAAAGGAACUGUUCCUUGGUCAAGGGUAUAUAUGCAGCUCACUCCCCUGGAAGAACCUCCAAACUCCCAAAAAAGUCUCUAGAGACUAGAAGAAUCCCAUUUUAGGGUGACUCCUAAAGGAAUGACUGUUU
ensembl:misc_RNA 7SK 7SK RNA